CUGUACCAGGAAUUGAACUGACGACCUUGCGCUUGCCAGGCAGGCGCUUUGCCGCUGAGCUAAAUCCCUAGCCCCUAGAAGGGGUAAUUUGUGUAAGGUGCUUGUGACGAUGCCUGGCACAGGCUCGUCCCUGUUUAUACUUAACCCAAAUUCUGGCAGCCAGGGCUGUGUGGAGCCUCCCACAGGGCAGGUGAUUCGGUUACAGGAAGGCUCUUACCGGGAAGCCCCUGAGGGAAGAGAGGGAGGUGGUAGCAAUGGAAAUACAGCUCUUCCCCUCCUCCCGCCCACUUCACAUUCCUUCCACACCCUCAGCAGUCUCACACACUCCUGCCCCCAGCACGUCCGCCCUCCUGUCAUUUCUCCCCCUUGCCAGGCUCCCUUCUCCCCCCAUCUGUCCCUCCCCUUCCUGGGCCCUGGGCUCUUGUCAGGGUGUUGCCCGCCUGUCCUUGCUCCAACCCCGGGGUAUUCAGCACUGGCCACUUCGCUGAGAAAAUUACAGCCUCAGCUUCCCGGUCCCCUGACUUAGCUGCUCCCUUGUGGUGCGAUUUCUCUCACCAAGUGUUGUUUUCCUUUCCUCUGCCUGUGUUUGCACAGAAUGCCACGGAUUUGAUAUAGUGAUUGCCUAACACAUAUACCACAUAAUAGUAUUUUAUUUCUUUCUGAAGCACUGUUUGCAUGACAAAUGAGUUGGUAACAUUUGUGCAACUCCUUGCAGCUGUGCAGUUCAAUAUAGAAAGAAUGAGCCUUCCGGCGUCAGUACCGGCCCUGUGUAUUCUAAGAAGGCCCGAAACUGAUGCUUACACAAAGUGAAUGGUGCAGCCUUCACAGAGCCAUGGUCUAUUUCAUCACAAUGGAUCUCCGCGUGCUUUCAGCACAUGCACUGGACUGGAGCCACCCCCAAGGUGGAAUGCAGCAAGGGUCCCUGUCGCCCUCCCUUGUGUCCAGGGAGACUGCUGCCACCCUGUAUACGCGUGCGUCCGGAUAGCCCACUGCCCUUCCGCAACAUGCCUUCCGUCUGCCCGGGCCCCAGAAGUGUGUAGCACUGGCCUUUAGGCAUCCGGAUCACCCUUCUGCCUCGGCGGUGGCUUCCAGCGGCUGAUGGCCCGACCCUCUGGGUCUGAAGGAACACUACAGCGGGUCUGCGUGUCCUGCAGGAAAAACCUCGCAAAUCAGAGCGGCCACCCGUCCAGGUUGAGGAGAUAAAGUGUGGUUACCUGCUAGAAGAAUUAAACCUCGACAUGAGCCACAAAAGAGUCAGACUCAAUCUGAGUCCUCCGGUGGAAAAAAUGAGAGUGGUGCCACUACAGCACCAGCCUUGGAUAAUAAUCAGGAACAUUCAGAAAGCACAACCCCCAAUUUAGGAACAACGUGAGAAAGUAACCCAUCAUGUCCAGAGCUGGCUGCAUUUCAGUGGAAAAUAUUUAUAGCUGGUAAUAUAUUUUCGGCCAUGCUGGCUGUCAUAGCCGCUAUGAUAGGCACUGACUUUGUAAAAUCAGGUGUGUAUGCCUGUACUAAUUUAUGUUAUUGAAUUUAGAUAGCUUCCUGGUCCGCACGAUACACGGGGACCAUCUAUAAUGACAAAUAAUGAAAUUAUAAAUUUUCAAAAUUGUAAUAGAAUUGCUACAAUAUGAUUUGGUAAAAGGUUUGUUUGAGUGCACUCUGAUUUUGUGUAAAUGUUUGUAUGUUCUGUGUACGUGUGACGUGUUUGUCUGCCAUUUUGUGAAUGGCUGUUCUCCUUUGUUUUUGAGCUCAACAACAUUUUUUCAUGAUACAAUUGGUGUGCAAAUCUAAAAGCAUGCUUUCUUUUAAAUUACCAGCUGGUCUAAACAAAGAUAUUUAACUAAAGAUAUUUAACUAUAAUCCCGGAGCAGAAAAAUGGUUGGGUAGGACUCCAAUCAGUGAAUGAAGAGGUGGCCAACCUUUAUUCAUUAAUAAGGAGCCUCCAAAGAUCUCCAGAGUCUCUUGGGAGAUACUCCCAAUAAUUUGGUAAUGGUUAAAAGUGUUCCAAAAAAAUAAAACACAAGGUGCUCUCAUUAGAGAUGUUCUUAGUACAGAACUUACUUAGUAAGAAGCAAAGGUUUUCACAUGUGUAUGAUAAUUUAAUAUUAUUAAUUUCAUGGUGUAUUGAAAUGUAUUCAUGAUUCUGGGUGUAUAGUUCUCCAAAAGGUAAAGCAAGGGUUGCUUAUGAUGAGACUUUUGUUCAAAUUCAGACCUUUGCCUUUAAAAAACUUAUGUAUAUUUCAUUAAAUGGUAACAGAUUGGAGAAAAGCUUAUGUAUUAGAUAGAGAUGAUUCACUGAGAGGGUUAGGUUAUGUCCAAAUGAAAUUUUAAGUGUGGUACAAAA